UUUUAAACAGAUAUAUCAUGUUAAGGAGGGGUAUUUGCGAAAAAUACCAGUCGAGAGAAUGUUAAAUUUCACGAGCCGUAAGGCGAGGGAAAUUCAUUCUCAAGACUGGUAUUUUUCGCAAAUACCCCUCAAGAACAUGCUAUAUUUGUUUAAUUACACCGAAUGUUAAUGUUCAAAAACGCUUUGAUGAUCGUGACGUUACAAGCGUCCAAUCGGAUAGAGUAUUUUUUGGCAAAUACCACGGCAGAGAGGGUAAAAAAGGCAAAUCCUUUUGGCAAAUACCCUGGCGGCAUAAAAAAUGAACGAUAUUCAUUUGAAAACAGUAAAUUGGUGAAAAAUACACUAGCUAUCAACCAAUCAAAAUCCAGGAUUCUUACAUAAGGUGUAAUUA
rnacentral:lncRNA from 1 species